UUUAUUAUAUAGGAUUGAAUAACAAUAAAGCGAGGAAAGACUUACUUUCAGGAAAGAAAAGAGGACAGAGGCAAAGACAGCCAGGGACCUAGAACUGGGAUCCUUUCUGAAAUCAGGGCAGCCUAGCAUUAAUGUCAUAGGAGUCAGCGGAAUGGAGCUGGCUCAGGCAAGCUGAAGCCUUGCAGUUCAAGCUCCACCCAACCCCCAGCUCCCAAUUUGCUGUCAAGGGAAAGAUUUACUCUGAAGGAUGGAAAGUGGCCUACUGCUCUUCAUUAGCAGGAAAGCGGACUCUUAAUGCAUUCCUUGGCACUGAAGGAGAUGAAGCCCCUGCCUGCUCUCCAGAAGCUAAGAAUUUUCAGAUUGUGUCGUUGAGGAGGGGUUGCUAGUCCAUUCCAGACAUGCAUGUGCAUCUGUGCAAAGAAAAGGAGACGGGAAAAGAGUGUGACAAAACAGCAACAAUCAAUAAGGGUCUCACGGAUAAGAUGCCUUGCCUGUGUGUGAAAUGAUUCACCUGGAGUUAUGGUGUAGCUCUGAGAACCUCACCUAAAGCAGCCACUAGAUUGGGAAGUUGAAUGAAUCUAAUGAAUAUCCCUCUCCACCCUGGCUUAGUACAAAGCUGUGCACCUAGUAGGGACAGAUUGAACAAUUGUUGAAUUAA
rnacentral:lncRNA from 1 species